AAUAAGCAGUGUCGUCAGUAUUUUUUUCAACUUUAAUCGUCCGUCUUAUUUAAAAAAUUUUAGAUUAGUAUUUUUAUUGCUAUUAGCUUAUAAAAUAUGAAUAAUACUUUGUGCGUGACUUAUAUUUUUCUAUUUUUUUAAAAAAAAACUAAAUAAGACGAACGAUUAAAGUUGGACAUGGAAACUCAUCGUUGUGCUUAUU
rfam:Oryza meridionalis cultivar OR44 (W2112) chromosome 1, whole genome shotgun sequence.